GACGAACGCUGGCGGCGUGCCUAAUACAUGCAAGUAGAACGCUGAAGAGAGGAGCUUGCUCUUCUUGGAUGAGUUGCGAACGGGUGAGUAACGCGUAGGUAACCUGCCUUGUAGCGGGGGAUAACUAUUGGAAACGAUAGCUAAUACCGCAUAACAAUGGAUGACACAUGUCAUUUAUUUGAAAGGGGCAAUUGCUCCACUACAAGAUGGACCUGCGUUGUAUUAGCUAGUAGGUGAGGUAACGGCUCACCUAGGCGACGAUACAUAGCCGACCUGAGAGGGUGAUCGGCCACACUGGGACUGAGACACGGCCCAGACUCCUACGGGAGGCAGCAGUAGGGAAUCUUCGGCAAUGGGGGCAACCCUGACCGAGCAACGCCGCGUGAGUGAAGAAGGUUUUCGGAUCGUAAAGCUCUGUUGUAAGUCAAGAACGAGUGUGAGAGUGGAAAAUUCACACUGUGACGGUAGCUUACCAGAAAGGGACGGCUAACUACGUGCCAGCAGCCGCGGUAAUACGUAGGUCCCGAGCGUUGUCCGGAUUUAUUGGGCGUAAAGCGAGCGCAGGCGGUUUGAUAAGUCUGAAGUUAAAGGCUGUGGCUCAACCAUAGUUCGCUUUGGAAACUGUCAAACUUGAGUGCAGAAGGGGAGAGUGGAAUUCCAUGUGUAGCGGUGAAAUGCGUAGAUAUAUGGAGGAACACCGGUGGCGAAAGCGGCUCUCUGGUCUGUAACUGACGCUGAGGCUCGAAAGCGUGGGGAGCGAACAGGAUUAGAUACCCUGGUAGUCCACGCCGUAAACGAUGAGUGCUAGGUGUUGGAUCCUUUCCGGGAUUCAGUGCCGCAGCUAACGCAUUAAGCACUCCGCCUGGGGAGUACGACCGCAAGGUUGAAACUCAAAGGAAUUGACGGGGGCCCGCACAAGCGGUGGAGCAUGUGGUUUAAUUCGAAGCAACGCGAAGAACCUUACCAGGUCUUGACAUCCCGAUGCUAUUUCUAGAGAUAGAAAGUUACUUCGGUACAUCGGUGACAGGUGGUGCAUGGUUGUCGUCAGCUCGUGUCGUGAGAUGUUGGGUUAAGUCCCGCAACGAGCGCAACCCCUAUUGUUAGUUGCCAUCAUUCAGUUGGGCACUCUAGCGAGACUGCCGGUAAUAAACCGGAGGAAGGUGGGGAUGACGUCAAAUCAUCAUGCCCCUUGUGACCUGGGCUACACACGUGCUACAAUGGUUGGUACAACGAGUUGCGAGUCGGUGACGGCAAGCUAAUCUCUUAAAGCCAAUCUCAGUUCGGAUUGUAGGCUGCAACUCGCCUACAUGAAGUCGGAAUCGCUAGUAAUCGCGGAUCAGCACGCCGCGGUGAAUACGUUCCCGGGCCU
rnacentral:rRNA from 1 species